rnacentral:siRNA from 1 species
AUCGUGUGUUGAAGUUGAAAG